AAACUGGAGAGUUUGAUCCUGGCUCAGAACGAACGCUGGCGGCGUGCUUAACACAUGCAAGUCGAACGCGAAAUUUUUCUUCGGAAAGAGAGUAGAGUGGCGCACGGGUGAGUAACGCGUAAGUUAUCUACCUCGGCAUCUGGAAUAACUCACCGAAAGGUGUGCUAAUACCGGAUACGUUGAGUAAUCAAGAAAGGUGGCCUCUGAAUAUGCUACUGUGCUGAGAUGAGCUUGCGUACCAUUAGCUAGUUGGUAGGGUAAUGGCCUACCAAGGCAACGAUGGUUAGCGGGUCUGAGAGGAUGAUCCGCCACACUGGAA
rnacentral:ncRNA from 1 species